rnacentral:tRNA from 1 species
GGUUGCUUAGCUCAGCUGGUAGAGCAAUGGACUGUUAAUCCAUGUGUCGCAGGUUCAAAACCUGCAGCAGCCGCCU